ncrna:Prevotella baroniae F0067 engA RNA
GCCCUGAAUAGAAAGAGGGCACACUCUCCGUCAAUGGGAGGGCCGAAGAAUGUAUAACUUCAGAAAUUAAACAACAUCU